rnacentral:rRNA from 1 species
AGUGGCGAACGGGUGAGUAGCACGUGAGCAACUGCCCCGAAGACGGGAUAACACCGGGAAACCGGUGCUAAUACCGGAUAUCCCCACCGCAUGGAAAGGAUCGCUUCGGGAGGGGCUCGCGGCCUAUCAGCUUGUUGGUGAGGUAACGGCUCACCAAGGCUUCGACGGGUAGCUGGUCUGAGAGGACGAUCAGCCACACUGGGACUGAGACACGGCCCAGACUCCUACGGGAGGCAGCAGUAGGGAAUCUUGCGCAAUGGGCGAAAGCCUGACGCAGCAACGCCGCGUGAGGGACGAAGGCUUUCGAGUUGUAAACCUCUUUCAGCAGGAACGAUUGACGGUACCUGCAGAAGAAGCACCGGCCAACUACGUGCCAGCAGCCGCGGUGAUACGUAGGGUGCAAGCGUUGUCCG